rnacentral:tRNA from 1 species
GCCUGGCUGGCUCAGUCGGUGGAGUGCGUGACUCUUGAUCUCAGGGUCAUGAGUUCGAGCCCCAUGUUGGGCA